rnacentral:lncRNA from 1 species
ACCGGGGAUCGAACUUGGGUCCUUGUGCUUGCGAGGCAGGCGGCAGAACCACUGAGCUAAAUCCCUGGCCAGUACACACGUAUUUCUGAAACCCACACCGCCAUCAGAAUCAGGAAUGUAUCCAUCACGCCCUGGAGUUCUUUGCCUCUUUUUGCCUCCUCUCUUAGCUGCCCUGCACCCACCGCUGGCCUUUCUGCUCAGCUUUGUGGACUUCCGCAGGAGUGAAGCCACCCGGCAUGCGCCCAUGUGGUUUUGCUGAGGCUCUUAUGAUCAGCACUGUGACUUUGGCUGGAGUUGGUGCGCGUGGCGCUAAUACAUUCAGCUCCUGGCUGUGGGCGGGAGGCAUGGGAUAGGGAUGCGCUGAGGGUCUGCUCACCAGCUUUGGGACACUGGGGUGCAGUCGCCUGCACGUUUCUGACUGCCCUGGGUCAUGCCAGUCAGCUGCCCAGAGAGCUGUUAAAAGGCAGAGGGCCAGGCCCCCACCCUGUGCAUUUCUGAUUCCAUAAUCCAGGAUGAUGGGGCCUAAGACAGCCCCAUUUUUAUUUUCUUUUUUAUUUUUUUCUGGUACUGGAGAUUGAACCCAGGGCCUUUGCACUGAACUACUACAUCCCAGUCCUUAAAGAAAAAAAUAUAUUUUUAAAAAUUUUAGGGCAGGGACUUGUUAAGUCACUCAGUGGCCUGGACUGGGCUCACACUUGCAGUCCUCUUGCCUUAGCCACCUGUUUGUUUGUUUUUUGGUACCGGGGAUCGAACUUGGGACCUUGCGGUUGCAAGGCAGGUGCGGGAACCACUAAGCUAAAUCCCGGGCCGCUUAGUCACUUUUUUCUCUCUGAGACACAGUGAGACUUGCAACUUAAAGGAGAUGUCGGCCUGGCAGAAGGGCCUGGGCGGAGGAGAGCUGCUCGCUUCACAGCGGCUGGAAGCAGCAAGAGAAGGAAGGAGCUGGGGAGAGAGGCAGCCUUCCAGGCCACGUCUCCGUGACCCGCUCCUUCGGAGCAGAGCUCACCACCACCGCCAGCCGACAGACAGCAGGUUGCUUAUUGCCUGGACGUGGAAACACAGCUCCCUGCCGAGGCUUUUUUUUCUUUUUCUUUCUUUGCAGUGCUGGGGAUUGAGCCCAGGACCUUGCAGAUACCAGACAACACUCCACCGACCCUGCUGUGCCCCAAACCCUAGACAGACUUUAGGUUUUGGAGCAGUUUUUGGUUCACAGGAGAAGUGGACAAAAGGUAGACCGAUUUCCCGAAUAUCACCAACCCCUACACACACACAGCAGCCCCACAGUCAGUACCCUCACCUCACUAGAGCUCACAGCUGCUGUCCCCAGGAGGUAACUGUGUCCCAGGAAGCAGGAGCCAGACCUGAGUCCAAAUCCAGGUCCCCUUCUGAAUAGCUGGCUCUCGCUUUCUUUCUCCUCCUCCUGCUCCCUUCCAGCCAACAUGCUUUGGAAACUUGUUUAAACAUGAGUUUUUGUUUCUGUCUUUCAUUUGAAUGAUGAUAUCUCUGUUCUCGCUGAGGCCUUCCCUGACUCCCAGUCACUCUCUGUCACACUGUCAGGCAUUUCAGCAACAUGAUCUCAUAAAUAAUGUUCACGGAGGCUAGGGAUGUAGCUCAGAGAAAUACCACAGAAAAAGCGGCAAGAAGAAUGUCUAGUGGUCACCAGGCAUGGUGGCACAUACCUAGUACUUCCAGGAGGCUGAGACAGGAGGAUGGCACGAGACUGAGGCCAGCCUGGGCUACACAUGAGUUCAAGGCCAGCCUCAACUGCAUUACCAAGAACCUGUCUCAAAGGAAAAAAGAGCAAAGAAUGCGUAGUAAUCAUUGACAUGUAGUGAGUGCCUCAGGAGGACAGAGAGGGGUCCUCCUUAAGGGAAUCUUUGAGAGCUAUUGGCAUCUCCUGGGUAGAGGCCCGGGAUCCUGUCACACACACCUCAGUGCUUGGACGGUGUCCAGCAGCCGAGAUGGGCCAGCUCCAAUGUUGGAAGUGCCCUUGAGAAACCCUGGGAGCUGGUGGUGAGCCUUAGAUCCCCACAUGGCCUUUCAUUUCCUUUGCACAUGUAGGAGAGUUGCCCUGAACUGUGCACGACGCCCUUCCAGGUGGUCCUGCAGGAAGACUUGCGGCGUGAGGGCUCAGCCCUGGCUUCCUCACCUGCAGAGCGGGCACCAUAGCAUCUAUCCUCAAGGGCCUGUGGGAGUUUGUCCUGCUCCCUGGACCGAAGUGACCUAUAAGGGUACUGGAGGCUGCUACAGGUCAGGAGUGAAUGCAGAGAUCCACUGUGAGGGGUCCCCUCUGGAGUCCCCUGGUGUUGGGGAAAGGGCCUUGGCUUUGAAAUGCCCCCAGCUUGGUGUCAGCCUCACUCUGCCUUGGAUGUAGCACAGGGUGGUAGGAUAAUACUGCUGGAUUGGUUAGCCUGCUCCCAGGUGUCAGCAACUGCUGCCGCUGUGUGGCUCUCUCUGGAUGUCUAUGAGGAUGGAAGGCAGGGUUCAUAGCAAGUGUCUCUUACAGUGCUGGGCCAUUAUUUAUGGGAGAGCAAAGGCAUAGUCCCCACUCAACCCCCUUGAUCUCUCAUCCCAUAGCUAGUGGCCUCCAGCAAGAGCUGCUUCAGUCAUUCUGUUCCCUGUAACUUGCUUGUGACCAUGGUGCCAGCCUCAGUCUGCAUGAGGCUAUAGAGCACUUGACAUGUGCUCAGUCCAAGCUGAGAUGCCUUGCAUAAGUGUAAAAUACACACCAAUCUCGGAGACGUGCAGAAAUGCAGAAUACCUUUUUCAUAACGUAAUAGGGUUGAAAUGGAAAUGAUCACUGACACACUGGGUAAAUGAAAAUAUACUCAAUAUCCCAUUUCUGUUGGCAGAGGACAAUAUUGAAAGACAGUGAGCGCCUGGGGCAGGGACCUUUCGUGUAUGAGAUACUGGGAAUCGAGCCCAGGGCCUUCACAUUGAGCUACAUCCCCAGCCCCACCCCCCUUUUGAGACAAAGUGCCUUGCUAAAUUGUUAAGGUGUUGCAUUACUAAGCUUUCCUGUUACUGGGACACAACACUCAACACCUACAGAUUAAAGGUUCAGUUUGGCUCAUGGUUUCAGGGGAUUCAGUCCAUGGCCAGCUGAUUCAAGGCAAGAACAUCAUGGUGGAAGGGUGUGGUGAAGCAAAGCUGCCUAGCUCAUGGAGAGCAGGAAGCAGAGCAGGGGAACAGCACCAGAGAGGAAAGGGGCAGGGACCAAGCCCAUGCGUCUGUGACCCAUGGGAGACACACCCGAAGUGUGUUCCACCAAUCCCCCAGACAGAUCCUAAAGUCAGUCAAGUUGAUACUCCACACUGACCAUCACAGUUGCCAAAGCUGGAUUGGAACUUGAAAUCCUCUUGCCUCAGCCUCCCAGAGUGCUGGGGUUACAGGUGUGCGUCACCACGCCACAUCCUCCGAAGCUCUUUUGAAAGACUUAAGAGAACCGGGUGACUGCUUUAGAAGGAUCCUUGGGUGAAGUGGGACAGACCAAAAGGCUAGGACUCUGGAUGGAAUGGAAUCGCUUUUCCCAGGGCUGUUUGCUUUCAUCGUUCUGGGCAAUCAUACUCAGCCCACACACUUCGAGGCUGUUGAUUGCGCAGUCACUGGACUUGUGGGGCCCAAGAAAUCACCUGUUCUUGCUGUGACCCGUGUCCCGUUCAUUGCUUGGAUGUUGCAGUCUAGAGAGCUGGACCCGCACUGCUGAGUCAGUCACUAAAUGUCCACGGACCAACAGCAUUUCUCCAUCUCUUUGUAAAAAAAUUCGACAUCUGUAAUUGAAGUAUAAUUUAUAGGCCCCAUGAUUCUCCUGUUACGCAUUUGGCAAGGUCUGGAGCUGUUCAUUGUUGCAACAGAGAGGGGUGAUGGUGGCACUGAGUGAGUGGUCGGGAUUCUGCUGUGUAUCUUACCCUGUGCAGCACAGUUGUGUCGAUGCUGUGUGCCCCCUCCCCAAAUUAUCCAGCCCCCAACAUCUGUAGUGCCACAGUGGGGAAGCCCUGCACUGGAGGAGAUGCAUUUCACUGGAGCAUCUCAGGGUCUUCAGACUUUGUUCUCAGUUACUACAGAGCCUUAGACACUGGGGUAGAGCUUGUCCUUUAAGCCCCUUGGUUACUUUUUUUCGUUGCUGAAACAGAAUACCUGACACCCAAAGUUGAAGGAGGAAAGGUUUAUUUAGCUCACAGUUUGUAGAGGUUUCAGUCCUUAAUCGGCUGGCUCCAAGGCAGAGUGGCACAGGGCAGAGGGGCAACAGUUCACGGCGGUGGAAGACAGCAGAAGCAAUGAGAGACCUUAACAGCACCUUCUUGUCCCACUUAUCUUAUUCAGACUACUUAAGGUGGGUAGCACUCACAGCUUAAUCUUAGGGCCCUCGGCCCUGACAGGGCACUAUGAGUCAAUCACACACUCUGGAUUCAGUCACCUCUGAAAAAGCCCCACCUAAGACCACACGAGGCUUUAGGGGGACACCUAGACACGAGCCACAACAGCCCUAAACACUGAAGAAGACCUUGGAGCAGGUGGGUGGCGCUCUACUGCAGGGUUUUGGAAAGAUGAAGCUGGUAUCCUGGGGCGGGAUGGGUUACAGCAGAACCCAGCAAACUGUCCCUAUGGUGUUGUACGCAGACCCUGCCCUCAGCUAGUUUUUGCAAAUAAAGUUUUAUUGGUACAUGCCUCCCCGACCCAGUUCAUCUAUGGAUUGUCUAGAGUUUUACACGUGAACUUGGUGGUCGUGGGGCCUCGACACUGAGUGGAAUACCAGGUUGCUGCUGGGAAGGUGUCUUUUAGAGGCCUGUAGACCUCGAAUAAAGUAGGUGACCCUCUAUGGUGUGGGUGGGACCCAAACAAUCCCUUGGAGGCCUAGAUGCAGAGACGACUGAAGUCCUUGGAAGGGAAAGGAAUAAACUCAGGACCACGGUGCUGUGUUCUGCAGUCCUUCCUGGGUUCCACUCACUUCCGCACGGACUCAUGUGUGACUAGACUUCAGAGAUGAGUGACAGGGGCGUCUUUUUGAAACUUGAGUGUGACCGAAGCCUGGAGAGUGUGGGUUGGGCGGAGGACUGCCAGGACUCUUGGGUGGUG